GGUGUACUGGUGGGGUCCCUUGGCCUAGCCUGCACCCUCUUGCAAUCUGGGACACCUCAGGGGGAUGUUGGAGAGCUGAUUCCACCCCAUCCCUGCAGGCCAGGCCGAGGGACCCCACCAGUGCACG
rnacentral:pre_miRNA from 1 species